rnacentral:rRNA from 1 species
AGAGUUUGAUCCUGGCUCAGAGUGAACGCUGGCGGUAGGCCUAACACAUGCAAGUCGAACGGCAUCACAGGAGAGCUUGCUCUCUGGGUGGCGAGUGGCGGACGGGUGAGGAAUGCAUCGGAAUCUACUCUUUCGUGGGGGAUAACGUAGGGAAACUUACGCUAAUACCGCAUACGACCUACGGGUGAAAGCCGGGGACCUUCGGGCCUGGCGCGAAUGAAUGAGCCGAUGCCCGAUUAGCUAGUUGGCGGGGUAAGAGCCCACCAAGGCGACGAUCGGUAGCUGGUCUGAGAGGAUGAUCAGCCACACUGGAACUGAGACACGGUCCAGACUCCUACGGGAGGCAGCAGUGGGGAAUAUUGGACAAUGGGCGCAAGCCUGAUCCAGCCAUACCGCGUGGGUGAAGAAGGCCUUCGGGUUGUAAAGCCCUUUUGUUGGGAAAGAAAAGCAGCCGGUUAAUACCCGGUUGUUCUGACGGUACCCAAAGAAUAAGCACCGGCUAACUUCGUGCCAGCAGCCGCGGUAAUACGAAGGGUGCAAGCGUUACUCGGAAUUACUGGGCGUAAAGCGUGCGUAGGUGGUUGUUUAAGUCUGUCGUGAAAGCCCCUGGGCUCAACCUGGGAAUUGCGAUGGAAACUGGGCGACUAGAGUGUGGCAGAGGAUAGUGGAAUUCCUGGUGUAGCAGUGAAAUGCGUAGAGAUCAGGAGGAACAUCCGUGGCGAAGGCGACUGUCUGGGCCAACACUGACACUGAGGCACGAAAGCGUGGGGGAGCAAACAGGAUUAGAUACCCUGGUAGUC